AAUUUACUCCCUCCAUUCCAAAUUACUCGUCACAGAAAUGGAUGUAACUAGAACUAAAAUACAUCUAGAUACAUCCAUUUAUGCGACGAGUAAUUCGGAACGGAGGGAGUAGUAA
rnacentral:pre_miRNA from 1 species